AGUGGGGAAUUUUGGACAAUGGGCGCAAGCCUGAUCCAGCCAUGCCGCGUGCGGGAAGAAGGCCUUCGGGUUGUAAACCGCUUUUGUCAGGGAAGAAACGCACCGGUCCAAUACAUCGGUGUAAUGACGGUACCUGAAGAAUAAGCACCGGCUAACUACGUGCCAGCAGCCGCGGUAAUACGUAGGGUGCAAGCGUUAAUCGGAAUUACUGGGCGUAAAGCGUGCGCAGGCGGCUUUGCAAGACAGAUGUGAAAUCCCCGGGCUUAACCUGGGAACUGCAUUUGUGACUGCAUGGCUAGAGUGCGGCAGAGGGGGAUGGAACUCCGCGUGUAGCAGUGAAAUGCGUAGAUAUGCGGAAGAACACCGAUGGCGAAGGCAGUCCCCUGGGCCUGCACUGACGCUCAUGCACGAAAGCGUGGGGAGCAAA
rnacentral:rRNA from 1 species